AGAAGACUUGCCAAUCAGUGGUAGCACAGGGAGGAAGUUGGCUGAGCUGAGAGAAGGGCAUGUAGCUCAGACCAGAAACCUCUCAUCUAAGUACUGGGAGCUCCAAACUCCGGCCUGCUUCUGUCUAGGUUGUAACUCUCUCUGUGACCAUCAUUCCCCUCUAUAUACUGUAUCCCACAACGGAAUGUAAGUUUCUUUAGAGUUCAAGUCUUCCUGACUCCAAGUCCAGCAAUUUAUUUGCUAUGCCCCCUGGAUACUCAAGGUACUUAGAACAAGGCAGAAAUGCCCUACUAAAGUUUGCAAAAUGUUUCACAAAAGUUAUUUAAUUUGGUCUUCAUAACAACCCUGAAUAGUGCUCUUAUUCAUCUCAUUUUACAUAUAGGGAAACUAAGGCAUAGAGAGAUUGUUGUGCCUGUUGUCACAAAGCUGAUAAGUGGUUUCUGAAGAAGAAUUAGAAUUCAGAUUUUCCUAAUUCCAGGUUCAACACUCUAUUCACUCUGCCACCUAGCUGCCCUAACAGAAGAAGAGAAAGGGAAAUUUGAAGGAUGGUAGAUUAAUAGAAGUUUUCUAAGUAAAACAAACUCUAAGGAUGUACAAAAAUAUUUUGAGUUUUUUAUCUGUGAUGGUAAAGAAUGAGAAUCAGAUAGGGUGCCCAUCAACAAAGGGAUAGAAGAAAAUGAUAUAUAAAUGUGAUGGAACAUUAUUAUGCUUUAACAAAUAGUGAAGGGGAUAGUUCCAUUGAAAUUUGGGAAGACGAAUGAACUGAUGCAAACUGUGAAGUAAGCAGAACCAGGUGAACAAUUUAUAUAUUUCAGCAAUAUUGUUAAGACAGGUAACUCUGAAAGAAUUAGGAACUCUGAUAAGCAAAAUGACCAAUUAUCAUUCUAAAAGACUAAUGAUGAAAGAGAGAUAAAAGACAGAGUACAGAAUGAGACAUUUACACACAUGUGUUUAUAGA
rnacentral:lncRNA from 1 species